rnacentral:antisense_RNA from 1 species
CUUCACCGAGCCCAGCAGCAGGGGGUGCGGGCGGUCCUGGCCGUACGUGGCGAGCAGGGCCUGCGCCUC